AUUGAACGCUGGCGGCAGGCCUAACACAUGCAAGUCGAACGAGUGGCGGAAGGGUGAGUAAUGUCUGGGAAACUGCCAGAUGGAGGGGGAUAACUACUGGACACGGUAUCUCAUACCGCAUACACUCGGAUAUUCCCAGAUGGGUUUAGCUAGUAGGUGGUGUCAAGGCUCACCAAGGCGACUACCCAUAGCUGGUCUGAGAGGAUGACCAGCAACAAUGGAACUGUGACACGGUCCAGACUCCUACGUGAGGGAGCAGUGGGGAAUAGUGAACAAUGGGCGCAAGCCUGAUGCAGCCAUGCCGCGUGUAUGAAGAAGGCCUUAGGGUUUUAAAGUACUUUAAGCGGGGAGGCGUUACCCGCAGAAGAAGCACCGGCUAACUCCGUGCCAGCAGCCGCGGUAAUAC
rnacentral:rRNA from 1 species